GACGAACGCUGGCGGCGUGCUUAACACAUGCAAGUCGAACGGAAAGGCCCUGCUUUUGUGGGGUGCUCGAGUGGCGAACGGGUGAGUAACACGUGAGUAACCUGCCCUUGACUUUGGGAUAACUUCAGGAAACUGGGGCUAAUACCGGCUAGGAGCUCCUGCUGCAUGGUGGGGGUUGGAAAGUUUCGGCGGUUGGGGAUGGACUCGCGGCUUAUCAGCUUGUUGGUGGGGUAGUGGCUUACCAAGGCUUUGACGGGUAGCCGGCCUGAGAGGGUGACCGGCCACAUUGGGACUGAGAUACGGCCCAGACUCCUACGGGACGCAGCAGUGGAGAAGAUUGCACAAUGGGCGGAAGCCUGAUGCAGCAACGCCGCGUGCGGGAUGACGGCCUUCGGGUUGUAAACCGCUGUCGCCUGUGACGAAGCGUGAGUGACGGUAAUGGGUAAAGAAGCACCGGCUAACUACGUG
rnacentral:rRNA from 1 species